UACGUAGGGGGCUAGCGUUGUCCGGAAUCAUUGGGCGUAAAGCGCGCGUAGGCGGCCCGGUAAGUCCGCUGUAAAAGUCAAAGGCUCAACCUUUGAAUGUCAGUGGAUACUGCCGGGCUAGAGUCCGGAAGAGGCGAGUGGAACUCCUGGUGUAGCGGUGGAAUGCGCAGAUAUCAGGAAGAACACCGACGGCGAAGGCAGCUCGCUGGGACGGUACUGACGCUGAGACACGAAAGCCAGGGGAGCGAACGGG
rnacentral:rRNA from 1 species